rnacentral:piRNA from 1 species
UUCGUUGAAAGCUGAACACUU